AUGGUGCCCUCCAGCCUGCUGUGGGCCCUGGUGGCCUUCACCUGCUCUGGAUCCAGUGUGGCCCAGAAAGUUAUUCAAGACCAGCCAGCUAUAGCUACUGGAGAGCAUUCAGCAGUCACCCUGAAGUGUUGGUAUGAAACAAGUUGGAGUGCAUACUCCCUUUCCUGGUACAAGCAGCUUCCUGAUGGAAAGAUGACUUACAUCAUUGAGCAGUAUUCUUCUGCCAAGAAUGCAAAAAAGGGUCGCUAUACUAUAAACUUUCAGAAAGCAGACAAAACCAUCUCCCUCAACAUUGUGUCCUUACAAUUGGCUGAUUCAGGCAUGUAUUUUUGUGUUCUUCGAGAAGACACUGUGUUUGAGGUGAUAGUAAGAGCUGAACAAAAACACCAGAGCUGUGGAAGGUUGAACUACAACGUGGAGAGAGGGAGAAGUCAGAAGAUUAUUGUGAUUUCAUCUGUUUGA